rnacentral:rRNA from 1 species
UACGAAGGGGGCUAGCGUUGCUCGGAAUUACUGGGCGUAAAGGGAGCGUAGGCGGAUAGUUUAGUCAGAGGUGAAAGCCCAGGGCUCAACCUUGGAAUUGCCUUUGAUACUGGCUAUCUUGAGUACGGAAGAGGUAUGUGGAACUCCGAGUGUAGAGGUGAAAUUCGUAGAUAUUCGGAAGAACACCAGUGGGCGAAGGCGCAUACUGGUCGUUACUGACGCUGAGGCUCGAAAGCGUGGGGAGCAAACAGG